AAUCUUACUUCUACUAGCAACUACGGCUCUCGGGGAGGCUGCUCAGACCGCCGAGUCCACAGCAGCUACAACCGUGGUGUUCUUGAUUUUAUUCUGCAGAGUGAGCUCUCCACGUUUGCUUUCUGGAGGACCCAGGUGACCGCUCACCUCCCCUUCCUCCUGGAGCCCUGAAGUCGGAGGCCCUGAGCCAUGGACGGUAUCUGAGGAUCGGUUUAGCGUAUCUGGCCGGAGAAAUUGGCAACAUUUGCUACGAAUAAAACCCAAGCGUUUCCAGCAGCCAUUUUGAAUUAAGUUUCCCACCCGACAAGCCCUCGUCCCCUCCACUGCACAUCCAGGAUCCGGUGGAGGAGAAAGGCGCCGGGCGGAGAGUUGGGGAGGGCUGGUUCCUGCGGGUUCCUCCUAGGCGGCCGCGCGAAGCCCAGGCUCGGGGGAUCUCGGUGGCAGGCGCUCAGCUAACUUGGGGAAAGGACGUCCAUGGCCGUGGGGCCGACUGUCAACGGGCUGCACCUAGGGAUCCCAACCCCAAGGCCCUCGGAGAGCCGGGAGGCUCCUCCUCAGCUCCACGCACAUUCCCCUCCCUUCGCUGAUAGCCCCCACCGCCCCCCAAAGAAAGUUCCUUCAAAUGUUCCUGCAGUAGAGCCUUUCAUUUUGUCUCUGCGAAGUGGCAAAGCAGCUAGUAUUGCGAGGGGCCUAGAUGUCGCUUGUCUCAGCCCAUAAAAAAGAAAAAAAAA
rnacentral:lncRNA from 1 species